AGCAGCCGCGGUAAUUCCAGCUCCAAUAGCGUAUAUUAAAGUUGUUGCCGUUAAAAAGCUCGUAGUCGAACUUCGGCCUCUGCCGCCCGGUCCGCCUAAUUGGGUGUGUACUGGAGCGGUGGAGGCUUACCUCGUGGUGAACGGCCAUGUCCUUUACUGGGUGUGGUCGGGAACCAUGACUUUUACUGUGAAAAAAUUAGAGUGUUCAAAGCAGGCUUACGCCCGAAUACAUUAGCAUGGAAUAAUAAAAUAGGACGUGCGGUCCUAUUUUGUUGGUUUCUAGGAUCGCCGUAAUGAUUAAUAGGGAUAGUUGGGGGCAUUCGUAUUCAAUUGUCAGAGGUGAAAUUCUUGGAUUUAUUGAAGACGAACUACUGCGAAAGCAUUUGCCAAGGAUGUUUUCAUUGAUCAAGAACGAAGGUUAGGGGAUCGAAAACGAUCAGAUACCGUUGUAGUCUUAACAGUAAACGAUGCCGA
rnacentral:rRNA from 1 species